GUAUUUUUAAUAAUAACUUACGUUCCAGGUAACUGGCCUUGGGGUUUGCGUCCAAGUGGUGAAAAACAAUCUGGCGCCUUCAAUGAAAAAGGCCGAAUUGGGGAUACAAUUUGGGAGAGGCUUUUGCUGUGAAGCUGAGGUAUUGGAGUUAGCUUGUGAACAUGGAGUCAUUGUCAAAGAAGGAAGCAACUACCUAAUAGAUGGGAAACUUUUCAGUGGUAAACAUGAAGCUGAGCACUUUCUAGUCGAAAAUGAUGGAAUUCUCAAUAAGAUAGUCUUGAUAUUAAGGAGACUGUUGUUUGAAAAGAGAAAAGAGCAUCACGUUAGAUCCUUGAAUGGAUGAGUUUUACUCAGAUAUAGUAGUUAGAUGUCAAAGGACCCAGCCACUUUUCUAACCUGUAGGAUCCUAGAACUUGAGAUUACAACAGUGUCUUCCUCUUCAGUUCCCUUCUGUUAUUUCAGAAGAAAGACAUAAUAGCUCAUGUGGUUGGGUCCUUUGGUUUAUCUUCAGACUUUCAUUCUUUGCUUGUUUAUCUUGUAAAAUCAUUUUAAAUACUCUGAUAAUGAAUUAUAAAUCUCUGUUGUAAUAUUAUUGUAGUUGCAAAGAACACCAAAAACAUCAAUUUUGAGUACUCUUUGAUGUAUUAUCUGUAAAAUAUUGUUUCAAUGCUUGUUGGACCUUAGAGACGAAGACAGAGACUUUUGUUAGACCUUCAUUAGAGGCUUGGCCAAACGAAACUCUAU